CCUGUUGCCACAAACCCGUAGAUCCGAACUUGUGGUGAUAGUCCACACAAGCUUGUGUCUAUAGGUAUGUGUCUGUUAGG
ensembl:miRNA Mir100 microRNA 100